rnacentral:lncRNA from 1 species
CAGCGGAGCUGCAUUUAAAAGUGUGUUUCUGGCUUGAGAUUCUCAAAGGAGUAGAAAAGCAAGAACAGAACACUGUCCUAAAUGUUUGGAGAGCUCAGAUGGGGGCAAGCCAUCAAAUGUAACUGUUGUCAUCACAAUUCUUUGCAUAUAUGGCUGAGUCUCAGCUUCUCCUGUUGCUCAUGUGUAAUCCCUCUGAUGAAGAAGCCCUGGUUUCUGGUACCAACUAAGCCUUGGUUCAUUUGACUGAGAUCUUUUGCUGAAAUUAACUCAGAACUCUGUAAAAAGGCAACUGAAAAACUUUGUCUUUUCCGGCCUAGGAAUUUUGGCAUUGUCAUUGAACUUUACAAUCCAAACACAUGUGAAGUGCUUUGGCUUGCUUCCAAUGGUACUAUGUUUGAAAAGUCUUCUAACAAAUUUGUUUUCACCUCUUUAUUCAAGUAUCAAUGCUGAAGAGAAACAGCCUAAUGUAGAGAAAAUAAAAUGAAAUAAUUAAAAAGUUGCAGAAUGUGAAAUGACUGAGAUAAAACCAAGCAGGUCUGUUGGAGAUAAUGGUUAUCUGUUUGCAAUAAACAUGAAGUGAGAACAAGUCAUGACUUGUGAUAACAUUCAAGUGUAGAGAAGUAAAUUAGAUGUAGACACGGCCAAGGAAAGAAUUACAAACACAUGCAAGGCCAG